AUGUUUCAGCAUGAAGAAUUAGUUGAUAGCAGUUGGAUUGCAGCAAAUUCUGCUAAGUGCUUUUCAUGUGGCUACUUUGCUUAUGACCAAUUGGAUACGCUCCGCUACCGGCUAUACAGUGGAUGGAUUCCUGGAAUUCUAAUGCUUCACCUUUUUCUGCUCAUUUGCUUUACGCUGGCUCUGUAUCGGAAUGAGACAAUCAACUACCUGAUUCUCACUCUUCUGUGCGAGUUCAGUUCAGCCUUCACUGUAAGCACGCGGAAGGGGUACAUUUGGUUGCAACGUCCAGCGACUAAUCUGAAGUUAGUAAUAUAG
rnacentral:rRNA from 1 species